GAGGGUAUAGCUCAGUGGUAGAGCACAUGCUUAGCAUGUCUGAGGUCCUGGGUUCAAUCCCCAGUACUUCCA
rnacentral:tRNA from 1 species